UGAAACUAGGUGUGUCUCUCCCGCCCACACACACAGACCAAAGGGUUUCAGUUCAGUCUCUGAUGUGUGAGAAAGGAAAGUGGACGUGACAGUUUGAGGAUCCUGUUCUGAUCAGACUGAGCUGGACACUGAGCUCAGUUCUGCUCCACCUGCUCCACCUUCACCUGCUGCACCUGCUCAGGAAACUGUCAGUCCUGCUCAUCAGCUUCUCUCCGUCUGGAGGAACUUCCUGAACAUGGCGAGCGUUGGAAACAUGGAAGGUAGCCGGAGAAAUGCUGCUCACUCUGCAGCUUCAUUCAUCGAGGUGCACGACCGCUAUGAGCCCAGGAUGAGACAGAUUGUGUACGAGCUUCAGAAGGUUGAUCAUGAAGUGACACAACUGAAGCUGUUUGUAUUUGCAGGAGGAGCUGGUUUAGGAGCAGCAGCUCUAUUAGCUUUACUCGCUGCUCCGUUCACUAGAGGUCUGAGUUUAAUUAUAUUAAUGUUUCCACUUCUCUUUAUUACUUUUUCAUUAUAAAGCAGAGAAUAGCAGAAGAAGAAAGUGUAGGGAAGUGAGCAGAUUAAUAGGAGAGUUCAGGACGAUGGUCUUUUCAUUGAACAGUGAACUGGAAGAUGUGAAGAGUGCAUGUGGAGAUCUGCGGAGAACAUCCGCCGGAGCUGAGGCCUUAAAGUUCAUCAGACUGGAGAUGGACAUACUGGAGCUGUGGGCCUUCAAUGAAAAACUACAAACUCCUGCAACGUUAGGUUGGAUGUGGUCGCUGUCGCGUGAUUAUAGAAAUACUUUGUCCAGAUUUUUACAGAUGAAAACAAAACUGCAACAGCUGAAAGAAAACACCGACGGAGGGGAGGGGCCUGCAGCACCCCCUACUGGUGAGGGACCUUACCGGCAAUUCAUGCAGAGUUUGUUGUUUUCACCCAGUCUUAAACGGACAUAAAAUGUUUAUCAUUUAAAAAGAAUCUUCAGCUUCCUCCAUGUCUGUUUAAAAGCUCUGAUUUUACACAAAUGGUAACUGGUAAUAAUGGUUUAAAUCAAAUAUACAUUUUCACAAUAUUCUGUUUCUAAUGUUCAUGUUAAAUUUGUCUUCACUUAUUAAUGUUCCUCUCUAAAGAGCAGCUGUUGAGGGGGUGUGGAGGUUUUAUACGUUUCUCAUCUUUAAGUUCGAGGUGAAUAAUAUUUUAUUAUGAUGGUUUUUAUUUUAUUUUAAAGAAAUGACAGACUCAUACUGUCAAUCAUAAUGAAUCGAAUAUAAACUUUGUGAGAUUAAAGUUGGUGAAAAACGUUUGAGCUUCUUCAAGAGGAACAAAUGUGAAGAACUCGAGAAUCAGGAGUUCAACUACAAUUCCCAAGGUGCAUUUCACCUACAAUCAAAGAGCUUCCAUUCUGUCACGUGCUCUGCUGACGUUGAGUCGAAUGUAAAACUGAAUAAAAACAUCCAGCGCUUUAAAAA